AUAAUUAUAGCAUAUGGUUUGUAUUAAAAGUUCUACCUCGCAAAAAUACAUAAAAUAUAUAUUUUAGAAAACAUAAGAAUAUUUAAGAAUACAUAUUCGAAGCAGUCCUUUCCUGUCCUGUGCAGUCAUAGUGGGUCUCCCGUGCCUAGUGCUAGCGCUCGACUGAUUUACUGGGCUUGAUGCGUGGCACUUGACUGACUAAGUUCGUAUCGAGCGGAGACUUGGAGCAGUGCGCGGCGGUGAGCGUGUACUUCGAGCUGAUGAGCGUGCAUCCGCACCUGAAUACCCACGUGCCUUGUAUAACCCUCCAUCCCAGAGCACCCUUAGAACAAAUGAUUUUUUAUCACUAUUAGCAAAUGUUUCUCAUUUCUUUUUAAUUUCUUACGUCGAAAGUCUUUUAAAACGCAAUCAAAUUUGAUUUUGAAGAAAUUUUUUUUUUUUUUUCGGUAAUGGUGUUUCUUACAAAUAUUUUGGUUACAAUUUUAUGUUGUUUCUUAAAUGAUUCUAAAACUUGAUUGUACAUAUAAUGCUUAUAAUUG